AAAAUAUAAAAAAAAAGAAAUGAAAUGAACAUUGAAACUUUUGCCAUAAAAUCCCCGCGGCUUCUCCUUCUUCUCCACCCGCGAUGCGACUUCUCCUUUCUCCUCCACCCACAUCCGUGGCUCGGCUUCUCCCUUCUCCUCCACCCACAGUCGCGGCUUCUCCUCCUCCUCCACUAGCGAAGCUUCUCCACCAGCAAAGCUUCUCCAAGCCCUAAAGGUCCUCCACGCCGCGAAGCUCCUUCACCAGCGAAGCUCCUCCUCUAGCGAAGCUUCUCCAAGCCCUAAAGCUCCUCCAGGUCGUGAAGCUCCUUCACCAGUGAAGCUCCUCCACCAGCGUAAGUGAUGGCAAGCCCUAAAGCUCCUCCACACCCUAACCUCAUAUUUCCCCCGGACCUAAAACUCCUCCACCAGCAAAACUCCUCCACGAUAAUUCUGUCGAAGCUCCUCCAUGCCCAAACGCCACACUAACUUGGUCGAUAUGGAGAGGAUCUCGUUCGGAGGGAAGGACAAAGGAACAAAUAUCCAUGGUAGCCAGCUCUUCAUCAGCAACAUCUUUGAUUCGAAGAUGCAUGAAUGAUGAACAAGGUGAAACUUCCAAUAUAUUAUGUUAUUGUAGGUUAAAAGCUACCCUCUGACAUCUUGGAAUGAAACCAACCCAAGAAGGCGAUUUUUUUCAUGUCCAAAAUUUAGAGAUAAGGGAUGUGACUUCUUCUUAUGAAAUGAUCCAGAAUUGUCAGAGAGAACUAAGACAAUUAUUAAUUAUUUGAAGAUGGAUAACAAAAAAUUACAGAUGGAAAUUAGUCAAUUGAAGAAAUCUAAUAGUUAUGAGGGUGCAAUUGAUUGCAAUGAUCUCCUGGAGGAUGUGAACAACUCUGUUACUAUAAAGUUGAGUGAUGAAAUAUGUUCACUGAAUUGAAAGUUGCUAUCAUUGUAGUUGUAUUUAUUUGGAUUGUGAUGAUUUUGAGGUGGUUGAUGUAUUUUACUAUAAGCAAAUAACUUUAGAUGUAAUGAAAGAUGUUUCUAGGUUUUUAAUGUACCUUAUCAGUGUUUUAUGGUUUAAUGUACCUUCUCAGUUAUUCUUGGUUGUUCA